AGCUUCUAUUCCUUUGGAGCGCGGCGGGGGACGCAGGGUGACACGUGCGAGAGAGGAGCAGGACGGAAGAAGGCGGAUUGAGAAAGAGGUAGACGAGAAGAGGGAGAAAGAGAAAAACAAAACAGGUCUCAGCGUUCACUCCCGGAACCCUGCAGCGCAGAGUCGACUUAUUAGAUGCGUGAGAAUGCCCAUAAACCAAGGGUUGUCGUGCAAAGUGCAGCAUUAUGCGCGAGAAUGGAUCGCCCGAAGUGAUGCAUAUUCUUCGCAUGUGCGAUCGUGACACACCGACUCGACUUCGUGGGUGAACCGAAUAUAACAGCCAGGACGCAUGGAAGUGCAGACCGAGAGGCGCCCGGUUGCUGUUGAAGUGCCUGUUGAAGUUGUGCCUGA